CCUACGGGAGGCAGCAGUAGGGAAUUUUUCACAAUGGGCGAAAGCCUGAUGGAGCAACGCCGCGUGGGUGAAGAAGGUCUUCGGAUCGUAAAACCCUGUUGUUAGAGAAGAAAGUGCGUGAGAGUAACUGUUCACGUUUCGACGGUAUCUAACCAGAAAGCCACGGCUAACUACGUGCCAGCAGCCGCGGUAAUACGUAGGUGGCAAGCGUUAUCCGGAUUUAUUGGGCGUAAAGGGAACGCAGGCGGUCUUUUAAGUCUGAUGUGAAAGCCUUCGGCUUAACCGGAGUAGUGCAUUGGAAGCGGGGAGACUGGGGGGCAGAGGAGGAGAGGGGAACUCCAUGGG
rnacentral:rRNA from 1 species